UACGUAGGGUGCAAGCGUUAAUCGGAAUUACCGGGCGUAAAGCGUGCGCAGGCGGUUCGUUGUGUCCGUCGUGAAAGCCCCGGGCUUAACCUGGGAACUGCGAUGGAAACUAGCGAGCUGGAGUGUGGCAGAGGGGGGUGGAAUUCCGCGUGUAGCAGUGAAAUGCGUAGAGAUGCGGAGGAACACCGAUGGCGAAGGCAGCCCCCUGGGCUAACACUGACGCUCAGGCACGAAAGCGUGGGGAGCAAACAGG
rnacentral:rRNA from 1 species